ACAGGUGCAAUGAAGAGAAGAGUACAUGAGAGUGACUGUCACAGAGAGCUUCCGUUUCGGUGCAAGGAAGUACAUGAUAUUUCAUGGAAGAUGGCCUCUGAGCAGGUAGCCGAAUAAUUAAGCUGCCCGGGAACACCCGUUACAGUGUUAGAGUAUUCAGGGCCUUGUGCCUGCGUACUUGAAAAGGCAUAUAUCGCGAGGUAUAUGUGAAAUUGGGUGGUAACACGGUACUUCCGUCCCUUAU
rnacentral:ncRNA from 1 species